rnacentral:rRNA from 1 species
CUUGGUCAUUUAGAGGAAGUAAAAGUCGUAACAAGGUUUCCGUAGGUGAACCUGCGGAAGGAUCAUUAAAGAACGCCCCGUUUUUUGAAAUGGGUAAUUCCCAAACCGGUGUCUAUAUAUACCUUUGUUGCUUUGGCAGGUCGCCUUCUAGGCGUCGGCUCCGGCUGACUGCGCCUGCCAGAGGACCCAAACUCGUUUUGUUUAGUGUCGUCUGAGUACUAUAUAAUAGUUAAAACUUUCAACAACGGAUCUCUUGGUUCUGGCAUCGAUGAAGAACGCAGCGAAAUGCGAUAAGUAAUGUGAAUUGCAGAAUUCAGUGAAUCAUCGAAUCUUUGAACGCACAUUGCGCCCCUUGGUAUUCCGAGGGGCAUGCCUGUUCGAGCGUCAUUAUAACCACUCAAGCCUCGGCUUGGUAUUGGGGUUCGCGGUUUCGCGGCCCUUAAAAUCAGUGGCGGUGCCGUCUGGCUCUAAGCGUAGUAAUUCUCUCGCUAUAGGGUCCAGGUGGUUACUUGUCAGAAUCCCCCACUUUUAUAGGUUGACCUCGGAUCAGGUAGGGAUACCCGCUGAACUUAAGCAUAUCAAUAAGCGGAGGA